rnacentral:tRNA from 1 species
GCUUUGGUAGCUCAGUAGGAUAGAGCGACAGUUUCCUAAACUGUGGGUCGGCGGUUCGAAUCCGCCCCAGAGCA